UAACACCAGCGCCACAAGUGGCAACCGCUUUUAUUGGGCCUAAAGCGUCCGUAGCCGGUUCAGUAAAUUUUCUGUGAAAUCGUUGGGCUUAACCUAACGUCGUGCAGGAAAGACUACUGGACUAGGGACCGGGAGGCGUCAGAGGUAUUCCUGAGGGAGCGGUAAAAUGCUAUAAUCUCAGGAGGACCACCGAUGGCGAAGGCAUCUGACGAGAACGGAUCCGACGGUCAGGGACGAAAGCUAGGGGAGCAAACCGGAUUAGAUACCCGAGUAGUCCUAGCUGUAAACUCUGCGAGCUAGGUGUUACGUAUUCUUCGGGAAUACGUAGUGUCGAAGCGAAGGUGUUAAGCUCGCCGCCUGGGAAUUCUGGUCGCAAGACUG
rnacentral:rRNA from 1 species